GUCGUCUCGAGGUAGUCCUUGUUCGCCAGGCAGAGGGCGUCGGGGUGGCCCCAGAAGGGGGCGUUGGGGUACGGGGCGCUGGGGAGGGAGCUGGGGUGUAACAGCUGUGGCUGGGUCUGUGGGUGCUGGGGUCCCGCCCGUCCUCCUGGCCCCCCGCAGUACCCUCUCCUGUCCAGCGGUGGCAGUGUCUUAUCCCCCUCGCUCCUCAUCAGGACGCCCUUGAACAAGCCGUUAGGGGUGCAGGUGGUAACCGGGCUCCGGGGGUCGGUCUCUGGGCUCUCCCCUCCCAGGAGCGGAUGUUGCAGUUCAUCCAGGCUCUCCAUCGGCAUCCCCGUCCGGUCUGUUAGCUGGCUAACGCAGCCGACGGCCUGGUCUGGUGGGUUGCCGAUGCAUCAACCGGUCAAUGCUACGGACCUCAGUGUUGCAGACAAAACAGAGCGUGCACGAUGACAGUCCUUUUGGAUUUAAGAGAAGGCGUCCGCCGCCUCGCUGGCUUCAGGAGCGUGACGAUAAUCCAUAUUAAAUCCAAUUCUUAAAUGUUUCUGCUAUUACAGGCCUUGUUCUCAAACCCCCCAGAGAUAAGCACGAAUCAUCUGUCCUCAGUCCUCAUCUGCGUUCAUUAGUGUUCUGUGGUUAUCCUCGGUUAUGCACUACUGUAAUAUUUUCUGCGGCGUUGGAGUGUGUUAUGUGGUGUUAAAAAGAUGUUCUGUGGUGUUAUAAGAUGUUCUGUAGUGUUACAGUAUAUUCUGUUCUGGGCUCUUUCACUUUCUCACAUCAGAUGUUAUAUUUUUCAGGGGUUGAAGACUGAAGGCCCCAUGGUUCACACGCAGGAGCUUGUGUCUCUUUUCAUGUAUAUGCUAAUGUUGCAGUGGCUCGUAUUACAUCCUGAUGAUAGGCUACCUAGGUUAGUGCCGGGACGGGAGGACCAGGGAGAUACUGGAACCAGGUUGUCAGCUCGAAGUCCUCCUCAGGGUUUCACUCUGUCUAGUGUAAUCAAACAUCAAUUCUUCAUUCUCUCAGAUCGGCAUUGCAGACAAUGAUGUGGACGUCUAUUGUCUUCCUGUGUAAAAAUAACCUAGAUGAAUAAAGAAUGGACUUGAAGAU
ensembl:lncRNA